rnacentral:rRNA from 1 species
GUGGGGAAUAUUGGACAAUGGGCGAAAGCCUGAUCCAGCAAUGCCGCGUGAGUGAUGAAGGCCUUAGGGUUGUAAAGCUCUUUUACCCGGGAAGAUAAUGACUGUACCGGGAGAAUAAGCCCCGGCUAACUCCGUGCCAGCAGCCGCGGUAAUACGGAGGGGGCUAGCGUUGUUCGGAAUUACUGGGCGUAAAGCGUACGUAGGCGGCUUUGUAAGUUAGAGGUGAAAGCCUGGUGCUCAACACCAGAACUGCCUUUAAGACUGCAUCGCUUGAACGUCGGAGAGGUGAGUGGAAUUCCGAGUGUAGAGGUGAAAUUCGUAGAUAUUCGGAAGAACACCAGUGGCGAAGGCGGCUCACUGGACGACUGUUGACGCUGAGGUACGAAAGCGUGGGGAGCAAACAGG